GGGUUGUGAGGUUAAGCGACUAAGCGUACACGGUGGAUGCCCUGGCAGUCAGAGGCGAUGAAGGACGUGCUAAUCUGCGAAAAGCGUCGGUAAGGUGAUAUGAACCGUUAUAACCGGCGAUGUCCGAAUGGGGAAACCCAGUGCAAUUCGUUGCACUAUCGUUAACUGAAUACAUAGGUUAACGAGGCGAACCGGGGGAACUGAAACAUCUAAGUACCCCGAGGAAAAGAAAUCAACCGAGAUUCCCCCAGUAGCGGCGAGCGAACGGGGAGCAGCCCAGAGUCUGAAUCAGCUUGUGUGUUAGUGGAACGGUCUGGAAAGUCCGACGGUACAGGGUGAUAGUCCCGUACACCAAAAUGCACAGGUUGUGAACUCGAAGAGUAGGGCGGGACACGUGGUAUCCUGUCUGAAUAUGGGGACCAUCCUCCAAGGCUAAAUACUCCUGACUGACCGAUAGUGAACCAGUACCGUGAGGGAAAGGCGAAAAGAACCCCGGCGAGGGGAGUGAAAAAGAACCUGAAACCGUGUACGUACAAGCAGUGGGAGCACCUUCGGGUGUGACUGCGUACCUUUUGUAUAAUGGGUCAGCGACUUAUAUUCUGUAGCAAGGUUAACCGUAUAGGGGAGCCGCAGGGAAACCGAGUCUUAACUGGGCGUUAAGUUGCAGGGUAUAGACCCGAAACCCGGUGAUCUAGCCAUGGGCAGGUUGAAGGUUGGGUAACACUAACUGGAGGACCGAACCGACUAAUGUUGAAAAAUUAGCGGAUGACUUGUGGCUGGGGGUGAAAGGCCAAUCAAACCGGGAGAUAGCUGGUUCUCCCCGAAAGCUAUUUAGGUAGCGCCUCGUGAAUUCAUCUUCGGGGGUAGAGCACUGUUUCGGCUAGGGGUCAUCCGACUUACCAACCCGAUGCAAACUACGAAUACCGAAGAAUGUUAUCACGGGAGACACACGGCGGGUGCUAACGUCCGUCGUGAAGAGGGAAACAACCCAGACCGCCAGCUAAGGUCCCAAAGUCAUGGUUAAGUGGGAAACGAUGUGGGAAGGCACAGACAGCCAGGAUGUUGGCUUAGAAGCAGCCAUCAUUUAAAGAAAGCGUAAUAGCUCACUGGUCGAGUCGGCCUGCGCGGAAGAUGUAACGGGCUAAACCAUGCACCGAAGCUGCGGCAGCGACACUAUGUGUUGUUGGGUAGGGGAGCGUUCUGUAAGCCUGCGAAGGUGACCUGUGAGGGUUGCUGGAGGUAUCAGAAGUGCGAAUGCUGACAUAAGUAACGAUAAAGCGGGUGAAAAGCCCGCUCGCCGGAAGACCAAGGGUUCCUGUCCAACGUUAAUCGGGGCAGGGUGAGUCGACCCCUAAGGCGAGGCCGAAAGGCGUAGUCGAUGGGAAACAGGUUAAUAUUCCUGUACUUGGUGUUACUGCGAAGGGGACGGAGAAGGCUAUGUUAGCCGGGCGACGGUUGUCCCGGUUUAAGCAUGUAGGCUGGUUAUCGGGCAAAUCCGGAUAAUCAAGGCUGAGGUGUGAUGACGAGGCACUACGGUGCUGAAGUAACAAAUGCCCUGCUUCCAGGAAAAGCCUCUAAGCAUCAGGUAACAUCAAAUCGUACCCCAAACCGACACAGGUGGUCAGGUAGAGAAUACCAAGGCGCUUGAGAGAACUCGGGUGAAGGAACUAGGCAAAAUGGUGCCGUAACUUCGGGAGAAGGCACGCUGGUGUGUAGGUGAAGUCCCUGCGGAUGGAGCUGAGACCAGUCGAAGAUACCAGCUGGCUGCAACUGUUUAUUAAAAACACAGCACUGUGCAAACACGAAAGUGGACGUAUACGGUGUGACGCCUGCCCGGUGCCGGAAGGUUAAUUGAUGGGGUUAUCCGUAAGGAGAAGCUCUUGAUCGAAGCCCCGGUAAACGGCGGCCGUAACUAUAACGGUCCUAAGGUAGCGAAAUUCCUUGUCGGGUAAGUUCCGACCUGCACGAAUGGCGUAAUGAUGGCCAGGCUGUCUCCACCCGAGACUCAGUGAAAUUGAACUCGCUGUGAAGAUGCAGUGUACCCGCGGCAAGACGGAAAGACCCCGUGAACCUUUACUAUAGCUUGACACUGAACAUUGAGCCUUGAUGUGUAGGAUAGGUGGGAGGCUUUGAAGCGUGGACGCCAGUCUGCGUGGAGCCAACCUUGAAAUACCACCCUUUAAUGUUUGAUGUUCUAACGUUGGCCCCUUACCGGGGUUGCGGACAGUGUCUGGUGGGUAGUUUGACUGGGGCGGUCUCCUCCCAAAGCGUAACGGAGGAGCACGAAGGUUAGCUAAUCUGGUCGGACAUCAGGAGGUUAGUGCAAUGGCAUAAGCUAGCUUGACUGCGAGCGUGACGGCGCGAGCAGGUGCGAAAGCAGGUCAUAGUGAUCCGGUGGUUCUGAAUGGAAGGGCCAUCGCUCAACGGAUAAAAGGUACUCCGGGGAUAACAGGCUGAUACCGCCCAAGAGUUCAUAUCGACGGCGGUGUUUGGCACCUCGAUGUCGGCUCAUCACAUCCUGGGGCUGAAGUAGGUCCCAAGGGUAUGGCUGUUCGCCAUUUAAAGUGGUACGCGAGCUGGGUUUAGAACGUCGUGAGACAGUUCGGUCCCUAUCUGCCGUGGGCGCUGGAGAAUUGAGGGGCUGCUCCUAGUACGAGAGGACCGGAGUGGACGCAUCACUGGUGUUCAGGUUGUCAUGCCAAUGGCACUGCCCGGUAGCUAAAUGCGGAAGAGAUAAGUGCUGAAAGCAUCUAAGCACGAAACUUGCCCCGAGAUGAGUUCUCCUGAGACUUUAAGUCUCCUGAAGGAACGUUGAAGACGACGACGUUGAUAGGCCGGGUGUGUAAGCGCAGCGAUGCGUUGAGCUAACCGGUACUAAUGAACCGUGAGGCUUAACCUUACAACGCCGAAG
rnacentral:rRNA from 1 species